GAAUAGAGGCGCGACAAGCAUCAGUAUCCUGCGGGAGCUUCAGCAAGCGGAGAUCGCGGGGGAAAGGGAUUGUCGCCGAAACAGGGGCCUUGGCUGAAAGGCUUUUGUUGGGCGGUUGGAGAAGAUCCAGCCGACUGUCACGGCUUGCCGCCGUGGGGCGCUAUUCG
rnacentral:ncRNA from 1 species